rnacentral:sRNA from 1 species
UAAAGGAGAAGAAAAAAA